GACGAACGCUGGCGGCGCGCCUAACACAUGCAAGUCGAACGAGCGAGAGGGAGCUUGCUUCCUCAAUCGAGUGGCGAACGGGUGAGUAACGCGUGAGGAACCUGCCUCAAAGAGGGGGACAACAGUUGGAAACGACUGCUAAUACCGCAUAAGCCCACGACCCGGCAUCGGGUUGAGGGAAAAGGAGCAAUCCGCUUUGAGAUGGCCUCGCGUCCGAUUAGCUAGUUGGUGAGGUAAUGGCCCACCAAGGCAACGAUCGGUAGCCGGACUGAGAGGUUGAACGGCCACAUUGGGACUGAGACACGGCCCAGACUCCUACGGGAGGCAGCAGUGGGGAAUAUUGCACAAUGGGGGAAACCCUGAUGCAGCGACGCCGCGUGGAGGAAGAAGGUCUUCGGAUUGUAAACUCCUGUUGUUGAGGAAGAUAAUGACGGUACUCAACAAGGAAGUGACGG
rnacentral:rRNA from 1 species